CACCGGCGGCCCGACUGGUGGCCAUGUUUACUGGGCCUAAAGCGUCCGUAGCCUGACUUGUAAAUCUUGAGUGAAAUCCACGGGCUUAACCCGUAGUCAUGCUCGAGACACUGCUAGUCUAGGGACCGGGAGAGGCAGGGGGUAGGUCCUGGGUAGGGGCAAAAUCCUAUAAUCCGGGAAGGACCACCGGUGGCGAAGGCGCCCUGCUGGAACGGGUCCGACGGUGAGGGACGAAGGCCGGGGGAGCGAACGGGAUUAGAUACCCCGGUAGUCCUGGCUGUAAACUAUGCGAGCCAGGUCUGUCAGGUUCCACGAGAGCCUGAUGGGCCGAACCGAAGGGGUUAAGCUCGCCGCCUGGGGAGUACGGUCGCAAGACUGAAACUUGAAGGAAUUGGCGGGGGGCACCACAAGGGGUGAAACUUGCGGUUC
rnacentral:rRNA from 1 species